CCUACGGGAGGCAGCAGUGAGGAAUAUUGGUCAAUGGGCGAGAGCCUGAACCAGCCAAGUCGCGUGAAGGAUGACGGCCCUACGGGCUGUAAACUUCUUUUGUCAGGGAGCAAUUGGGUCCACGCGUGGGCUUAGCGAGAGUACCUGAAGAAAAAGAAUCGGCAAACUCCGUGCCAGCCGCCGCGGAAAUACGGAGGAAGGGAGCGUGAUCCGGAUUGAUUGGGUUUAAAGGGAGCGUAGGCGGAAUAUCAGGUCAGCGGUAAAAAUUCGGGGCUCAACCGCGUCGUGCCGUUGAAACUGAUGUUCUUGAGUGCGCGAGAGGUAUGCGGAAUGCGAGGUGUAGCGGUGAAAUGCAUAGAUAUCACGCAGAACUCCGAUUGCGAAGGCAGCAUACCGGCGCCCAACUGACGCUGAAGCACGAAAGCGUGGGUAUCGAACAGGAUUAGAUACCCCGGUAGUC
rnacentral:rRNA from 1 species